rnacentral:rRNA from 1 species
UACGUAGGUGGCAAGCGUUGUCCGGAUUUACUGGGCGUAAAGGGCGUGCAGGCGGUCUGUUAAGUCUAGGGUGAAAGCUCCCGGCUCAACUGGGAGAGGUCCUUGGAUACUGGCGGACUUGAGGGAGGCAGAGGAAAGUGGAAUUCCAAGUGUAGCGGUGAAAUGCGUAGAGAUUUGGAGGAACACCAGUGGCGAAGGCGACUUCCUGGUCUGCAACUGACGCUGAGGCGCGAAAGCAUGGGGAGCAAACAGG